GAGUUUGAUCGUGGCUCAGAACGAACGCUGGCGGCGGGCCUCAUACAUGCAAGUCGAGCGCGAAAGUCCGCAAGGAUGAGUAAAGCGGCGCACGGGUGAGUAACAUGUGGAUAAUCUACCCUUUGGAUUGGAAUAACCUGUCGAAAGACGGGCUAAUGCCGAGUAAGCUCUCGGGAGCGUGAAGCUCUUGCGAGGAAAGAUGGCGCAAGCUAUCGCCGAUGGAUGAGUCUGCGUCCCAUUAGUUAGUUGGUGAGGUAACAGCUUACCAAGACGAUGAUGGGUACCUGGUCUGAGAGGAUGAUCAGGCACACUGGAACUGAAACACGGUCCAGACUCCUACGGGAGGCAGCAGUAGGGAAUAUUGCGCAAUGGACGAAAGUCUGACGCAGCCACGCCGCGUGAGUGAGGAAGGCCG
rnacentral:rRNA from 1 species